rnacentral:rRNA from 1 species
UGCAAGUCGAACGGCAGCACGGGAGCAAUCCUGGUGGCGAGUGGCGAACGGGUGAGUAAUAUAUCGGAACGUGCCCAGUCGUGGGGGAUAACGUAGCGAAAGCUACGCUAAUACCGCAUACGAUCUAUGGAUGAAAGCGGGGGAUCGCAAGACCUCGCGCGAUUGGAGUGGCCGAUAUCAGAUUAGGUAGUUGGUGAGGUAAAGGCUCACCAAGCCGACGAUCUGUAGCUGGUCUGAGAGGACGACCAGCCACACUGGGACUGAGACACGGCCCAGACUCCUACGGGAGGCAGCAGUGGGGAAUUUUGGACAAUGGGCGCAAGCCUGAUCCAGCAAUGCCGCGUGCAGGAUGAAGGCCUUCGGGUUGUAAACUGCUUUUGUACGGAACGAAACGGCGAGCUCUAAUACAGUGUGCGAAUGAGGGUACCGUAAGAAUAAGCACCGGCUAACUACGUGCCAGCAGCCGCGGUAAUACGUAGGGUGCGAGCGUUAAUCGGAAUUACUGGGCGUAAAGCGUGCGCAGGCGGUGAUGUAAGACAGAUGUGAAAUCCCCGGGCUCAACCUGGGACCUGCAUUUGUGACUGCAUCGCUAGAGUACGGCAGAGGGGGAUGGAAUUCCGCGUGUAGCAGUGAAAUGCGUAGAUAUGCGGAGGAACACCGAUGGCGAAGGCAAUCCCCUGGGCCUGUACUGACGCUCAUG